GAGGAUUCAGAGAGAGGAGAGGCUGCUGCCGACAGAGGCUUCCAAUAGUCCCACUAGAUGCAGGCCUGAGGGCAGCCAUUGGCAAACAGGUUUCGAAAGGCUGAAGAUGGCCCACCAGUCACCAUCCAUGGGAUGCACCCUACAGUUUGAAAACUUACAUCUACCCCAAACCUUGCCAGAGGACACUGAUAACACCUUUCCCCCAAUAACUCCAAGCUAGAAGUGACCCAAGAUGCCCCCGCUUUGAUGACCAUCCCUCUGUCCCUGUACCAUGCCAUGCUGCUUAGCAAUAAAUGUGUGGGGUUAGGGGGCACUCUGGGCACACAUGCAAACAUCCUAAGUGCUUCACAGGAUGGGAAGAUCAAGGAGACCCCCUUCUUUGAGUGUGCUUGGGGCUCUGUUGAGAGGAGGGCAGAGUUGGUGAAAGCCAGCAAAGUUACUCUGGGCUAUCCAGGGUCCAUGGGCACUUGUUGGCACCUCAGAGCCUUCCAGCAUCAUGAGACAACAUACUGCACACAGGAGGUCAGUGGCUCCCAGGGUGCAGGUGGAGGGACAACAUGGCUAGCCUGUGUCGUAGGAACAGAGCCUUUCUGAAAGGCAAGACCGCUGCCUGGGGCUUGGCAGCAGGGGUCGAUGAACCAGCGAGGUCAAGGGGGCGGUGCCAGAAUAACGCAGUAAUUGGAUUGUAGCUAGAUGUUUGAAAUCCGUGAGGCUGUGCUCAUGUAAACAAAUGAUUGAAUAAAUAAACAAAGAUCUGGGAAGAGGAA
rnacentral:lncRNA from 1 species